rnacentral:rRNA from 1 species
AUUGAACGCUAGCGGGAUGCCUUACACAUGCAAGUCGAACGGAGUGGCGAACGGGUGAGUAAUGUCUCGGAACGUGCCCAGUAGCGGGGGAUACCUACGCGAAAGCGUAGCCAAUACCGCAUACUAUUGGAGCGGCCGAUGUCGGAUUAGCUGGUUGGUGGGGUAACGGCUCACCAAGGCGCCGAUCCGUAGGCGAUUUGAGUGGACGACCAGCCACACUGGGACUGAGACACGGCCCAGACUCCUACGGGAGGCAGCAGUGGGGAAUUUUGGGCAAUGGGGGAAAGCCUGAUCCAGCAAUCCCGCGUGUGCGAUGAAGGCCUUCGGGUUGUAAAACACUGUUGGCAGGAAAGCGGUACCUGCAGAAUAAGCACCGGCUAACUACGUGCCAGCAGCCGCGGUAAUAC